rnacentral:lncRNA from 1 species
AGACCCCUGCUUGAAGGCUCUCUCUCUAAGAAGACAGGCGGGCACCCUCCUCUCCCACCAGGUCCCACGGCCAGGGCUGGUCUCUCUAACUCUGAGGAGGCGGGGGGAGGGCAGUCUCCUCUCAGUCUCCGCCCCCCCCCCCCCCCCGUUUCCUUCGCCCACCUCCUCCAGACUGGGUGCCCCCACACUGAACCCAGGGGAGAAGCUCUUCCCAUUUUCCACGUGCCCCAUUCUUCUGGGCCUUUGCUGGGUCACCAAGGCCCUCCUGUGGGGGGAGAGUCCUGCCGUGCAGGGGACAAGAGGCGUGUCUGUAAAUACUGAUCCUCCAAGGGGGAGGUUGAGGAGUGGGGGUAUCUGGUGACAAGUGCAGACACAAGAGGGCCACACGGAUUCUGGGAGCCCCUGGUCAGGAGGUCUGUCCCCUGUGGCCAGGGCUAUUGCCCUGUUCAAACCGUGCAGCGAGGCCCCUCAGUGGGCAUCUAGAGCCCCCGCGAACCAGGGGCCCUGGAGCAUGUGCUGUUUUCCUGUAACUGUCCUUCUCAAGUGGAAGUUCACGUUAACUGCGCGGCCAGCUGCUGUGCGAUGGAAAAGCCAUUACAGCCCCUUCCUGUCCUUUUGAUCAAACCCUUCGACUCCCAGGGCGCCCUCAUUUCUGAUUGUUGGAAAAGCACAUUGACGGGGCGGAGGGGGGGCGGUGGUGCAGGCCCCUCCAGGUGACCAGGCUCCGGUCCUGGAGGAGGACAAUUCGGGCAGACCCCUUCCUUGGGGCUCUGAGCCCAGCGCCGUCUGCAGGCGAGGGGUCUUCCUUGGGGGUCUUGAGUAGAGCCCCGUGCAUGGGCUCCCGCAGGCGGAGUCAGCCAGCUGUGCCACUGGCUACUCUCUGGGCAUCUUGGGGUGGGGUUUCCAUGCUGCUUCUCAGCAGGACAGCCAUGCUCCCCAGCCGCUCACAGCAGUCCACCGUGAGGGCAGCUGGCUCUUCUUGCAGCAUCUGCCCAGGCCAAGCUGGCAGUUUCCUGCAUUUGCAAAGCCAGGGCACUGAGAGGAUGUGGGAGGGGCAGCUUCCGGCCCUGGCGUCUUGGCAGCCGUUCCCAGGCAAGAAUCCACCCCCAGCCCUGCCAUUGGUUCUCCUGCCUCUUCCGGGCAGAGUGGGGAGCAGCGCCUGCUCCUCGGGGGCUGGUCCAUCCCAUCACCCAGGCUGCCCAGGGGCGGUCAUACCCACUAGAUUAGGGGACCCCCUGGGGCCCGGUGCCCUCCUGCCAGCCGCACAAAGAGGUCAGCCUCGUGCCUGUGCCGUAGGCCUCUGUGGCGUCAUUUACCUUGUCCGCUGCCAGCUUGGCUGGCCCUCCUUCGCUCCUCCCCGGGGCCUCUGCCCUUCACAGUGCCCUGUUGUUGCUGGAAGAGCAGGCAGGCACCCUGGCCCUGGCUUUCCGCCCUGUCUCCUGGAGGGCAGUGUUUGGUUGGCCACCGCAGGCAGCCCCAGGGCUGGCUCGGCUAGUGGGGAACUGGACGCCCUUCUGGAACACCAGCUUCCCAAGGGCAGGCCCCACUGGCUUCUCCAUGGCUGCACUUCCAGCAUCCAGAGCAGCACCGAGCAGGGCUUAGGGCGCAGGGGUGAACAUACAAGUGACCAAAGAGGUGACAACACCCCUUCCCUCCCCCAGCCCGGAGUGGGUGCAUUGGUACCUUCCCAUCGAACAGAAGCUGACCUCUGGGAGGCCCUGGGCCCUGGGCAGUGAAAGGCAGGCCCAGGAUGGAGGGGUUGUGUGGUGAGGGGCAGGAGAGGCAGGGGGAGGGCCGAGCCUGGAGAACUCCAGAAGCCUGGAUCAGGAGAGACCCCUGCUUAUCAGGAGUCCCUCCGCCUCCAGCCAGAGUGGCUGGAUAGGCCACCCCGUUGGCGUGGCCUCGAGGGUAGGAAGCCAUGUUGUGCAGGGACCCAGGUCUGGGUCCACAUUGCUGUGUGACCCCAGGGAGACUUCUCAGCCUCUCUGUGCCUGUUUCCCAUCAGUUACAGAGGAGUGACAACAGCCAUAAUCGCAGGGUUAUUAGGAAGACUCAAUGUGAUGAUGCAUGAGAAUGUUUAAAAUAGUCCCGGCACAUGGUUAAUUUUUAAUAAAUUUUAGGGAUAAGUUGCCAGUAAUAAUAAUAGCCAAAGUGCAGAUGUUGAUAAGACCCUCAGGAAAUAAGAGGCUUGUGUUUUGUACCCCAGACCACGGCUGGCUGUGUGAUCUGGGCACAUGCAGUUGUCUCUGGUCUCUGGAUGAGCUCCCUGUUAGUUACCGUCAGAGGGGCCUGGGGCAGAUGGCUGCUGGGUCUGAACUUGGUCCUGUGACCUUUCCCCGCUGAGUGGUGGGAGCGCUUGGGCUCACCCUUUGCAGUUCCAAGAGCGCGUACAUCCCAUCCUUGCGCCUUCUCUGGGCCGUGCUCUGGCCAGUGGCCGCCGUCAUCAGGUUCCCAGGGAGCAAACCAAGGCCCGGGUCGGGUAACGACUCAGCCCCCAUCGCACCUUCCUGGCCACGAAGGGCCUCUUCCUAGAGUUCCUGUGGCCUCACACUCUGACAUCUGUGAGGCCUGUUGGUUGUUGGUUUUCAAUACGUGGUCAUCUUCUGUGGUAUCAACCCGGAUGACUGAUGCUAAUGUGUGCAAGCCUGUCCCGGGGAGGGAGCUGACAUGGGGUUCGAGUAGGAAUGUUCUAGAACAUGCUAUUAGGAGCACAUGACAGCCAUGUAGCGUGGAUCUGGUGCCUGAGAGGUGACAGAGUACUUGCUCAGCUUAUGGCAUCUGUUCUUCUCAACAGCCCGGGAGGCUCAGGAUGCAGGGAUUUGCCCUCAGGCCCAGAACCGGCAAGUGGUGUCAAGGCGGGACUUGCACCCAGAUAUGUGGCUUCCGAGCCCAAAGCUGCCCUCUCUGAAGUCCACUAGCACCCGAGACGUGGCCAGGGCCUGAGGGCCAUUGAACUUUUGCUCCUCUGGGGAGAAAGCUCAGGCAGAAGCCAUGUUCUGUUCUCCAGGGAAACCGUGACCCACCAUUGACCCAUCACAGCCCAGGGGAUGCUGGGAAAAUCCCUCUCAGGUGCCGAGAUCCCUCCCCCGCCCCACGGUUGUUCUAAAGAGGGAGCCAACCACCCGGGGAACAUUCCCCAGGAAUAAUUGCUAAAAGGCCUAAUUUUGGAGAUAACCACCGUUAUAAACGUCUCAUUACUUUAAUUAAAGGCUCAUCCAUCACUGACGCACUGCUCCCCCGAAGCAGAGGGGCUCAGGCAGCAGCAGCAUCCAGUGUGAGCUCGACUGGGAGGCAGAGUGAGGGCUUGCACCGCACUCCCCCUCAGCCUCCUUUAUGGAUGCUGGCGGCCCCGCCAAACCUCGCAGGAACACCCCAUUUCCUCCCCCAUGGCCCCGGUGGCCUGUGCCCCUGCAAAGACCCUCCCUGCCCCUGCUGCCAUGUUGGCAAAGCUGAGACGGCCUUGGAGGAGCCAGGCUGUGACCUUGCAGACAAGAAGGAUCAGCGAAGAGCAGAGAAACUCAGGACAGCGGGUGUGACCCCAGCACGUGUGCUGGUUGGGAGGUCGGGGGUGUCUCUGCCCCAACGAGGCCAUUGUCACCUCAGUUCGUCAAAGUCCUGCCUCGCCCUGGGGCCCUUUACCGCCUGAGUCUGCCCAGUAAGUGCCCCUGCUCUGCUAGGAGGCUCGGCAUCCCACUGGCGCGCACAGCGCGAUUGCUUUCUCUCCUCUCCUAUCAGUGGGCAUUUGGACCAGCGUUUGGCUACUGCAUAUAAGUUGCUGUCAGUAUCCUGGUAGCUGUCUCUGGAUCUGUGGGGGCAGGAUGUCCCCUUGGUGUAUGUUCCGGACUGGGGUGGCUGGGUCAAGGCCACGGGAACACGCAGGCUGAGUUCUGCCCCCGCUUCUCCAGCCCCUUCCCGUCUCCUGAGCCCCUGCUGCGUACCAGCUCCUGUAGGGGGCGCUUCCCUUCAACCUCAGAACCAUGCUGUGUGGGAGAUUCCAUUGUCCCCCUUUUAUAGAUAGAUCUAAGGCUCAGAGGGACUGUCACUGGUCAAGGCCACUUAGCUGAUAAGUAGCUGGGCCAGAAUCAAACCCAGAUCCCAUGGCAGCGGGUGUGGGGGGUGGGGGGAGGGCAAAUUCCUUGAUCUCAAGGCCCCUCUGCCCCUUGCCCCCCACACCCAGCAUUCUGGGGCGCCCCUGGCACAUUAAAGCCUGCCUGGACAAGGCCGGUGAUCAGUGCCUCCAAUGGGGAGCAGGGCGGAGGUGCCCGCGUGACUGCUGCCCUACCGGCACCUGCAGCUGGCGUGCCUCCUGGGGGGCAGGUUCCCAGCCCCUGCCUCGCUCACGUUUUACUUUCUCCUAAGUGGCCUCCAGAGAUGCCAUUUCCCGUUACAAAAUCUGGCUCCAUCCAACCAUCCCGGCAAAUGGCCCAUCAGCUCAGCCCAUCCACAGGCAGCAAGAGACGUGGACCAGGGGAAGGAAUUGAGCAGGGACUUUUAUUCCUUCCUGGGGUUAAACCUCCCAGUUUGAGGUAAAACAAAUUCCUCACUGGAGCUCAUCACCUCCAGCUGGGCUGUAGGAAGCCCCAUUUAAUCAGAUCACUUAGCUCUGAAUCACGCUAACGAGAUGACGGGCAGGGCUGACUCUGCCCUCGUGCAAGGCCAGUCUCGGGGGACGAGGGCAGUCUGGCAGGCGGGGGGUGGCUGGCUCUGGAGGUGCAGGGCCUCUGCAGACCUGGGGCGGGUACUGUCCUCCGUCCCUCGGCGUCUGUCUGCAUCCACGGUAGAGAGAAUUCUCCUUGGGCCUCGGCUCGGGGGCCAGAGUGAGACGAUGAGAUGGAAAUCAAACCAGGAGUUACCUCAAUGGGCCUCAGAACCUUUGGAAGCACAGCCAUGCCCCCAAGAGAGAGGGGGACACCAGCCCCACGGAGACGGGCACCAGCUCCAGCAUCAUGCAGCCCCCAUGCCAGCGCCAGCUCAAUCCCUCUGUGGACUCCACCCACACAGAGCUGUAUAACGUGACUAAUUCACGCAGCAGCGAGUGGUGGGGACAGAGCCUGGUCAGCUUCCUGUGGAGCAUUCCUGGAAGUCGGGGGCUUCAGGGACCCCGGAAGCGUGAGUGUUUGGGGAGGGGAUCCCGUGCUCAGAACCCUGCAAAGGGAGUCAGUUACUCCAAGUUGGGCUUGGCGGCCUGGAGCGUGUUACUGACUCUUCAUUGACACAGUUGCAGGAAGAUUCAGGGUAUAAAUUUGAACAAGGAUUAACCAUUCCCAGAACAAACAGCCCUCGCCGGCUCUCCUCCCCGCACACAAACCCCACUGGGUCAUCCAAGUGCAAACAGGUAUGAUGAGGCCGCCUCUCCUCUCCCCUCCCUCUUCCUGGCAGCUGGUCUUCCACCAACAGCGUCCAGAGUCGGUGGGUCUUGGCCUGCAGAGAAGGUGGCCUAAGUGUUGGGGGAGCCCCUGGGGACCUUGACCCCCCUUCUGGAGCAGGCAGUGGCUAGGUGAGGCCCUCGUCGGUUUCCUGUCUCCUCCUUCAACGGGGGGAGAGGCGCAGCUCGGCCCGUAUGGCUUUGAUGCAGCAUCAGUGGAGCUCGAAAGCUGAGAACGGGCCAAGGAUGAACCUGUCGCCCCCACUGGCCUCCCCUCCUUAGACAGACGAGUCACAGGGAUGACGGAAUUAGCAUCUCGCUCCUGGUCUGGGGUCUGUCUGAAAAUUCAGAUGUGUGAGAAAG